rnacentral:rRNA from 1 species
AUUGAACGCUGGCGGCAGGCCUAACACAUGCAAGUCGAGCGGAUGAAGGGAGCUUGCUCCUGGAUUCAGCGGCGGACGGGUGAGUAAUGCCUAGGAAUCUGCCUUGUAUUGGGGGAUAACGUCCGGAAACGGGCGCUAAUACCGCAUACGUCCUGAGGUAGAAAGGGGUGGAUCUUCGGACCUCACGCUAUCAGAUGAGCCUAGGUCGGAUUAGCUAGUUGGUUGGGUAAAGGCCUACCAAGGCGACGAUCCGUAACUGGUCUGAGAGGAUGAUCAGUCACACUGGAACUGAGACACGGUCCAGACUCCUACGGGAGGCAGCAGUGGGGAAUAUUGGACAAUGGGCGAAAGCCUGAUCCAGCCAUGCCGCGUGUGUGAAGAAGGUCUUCGGAUUGUAAAGCACUUUAAGUUGGGAGGAAGGGAAGUAAGUUAAUCCCUUGCUGUUUUGACGUUACCAACAGAAUAAGCACCGGCUAACUUCGUG